rnacentral:ncRNA from 1 species
UAGAUACGGGGUAUCGUCGAUACCCCGUAUGGCAAAGCCAAACUUUGGGUCUUUUUAUUGUCCCUUAAUAUAUAGAUAUUUAUUUAUAAAUAUAUUUAUAAAUAGUAUAUAUUUAUAUUUAUGUACUAUUUAUUAAGAUUAUAAUAAAAAUUCAGAGAAGAUGCAAUGACGGUAUCUGAGGAAUAAGCAUAGGCUAACUCUGUGCCAGCAGUCGCGGUAAGACAGAGGAUGCAAGCGUUAUCCGGAAUGAUUGGGCGUAAAGCGUCUGGAGGUGGCUUUUUAAGUCCGCCGACUAAUCACAGGGCUCAACCCUGGACAGGCGGUGGAAACUACCAAGCGGCUUUUUAAGUCCGCCGACUAAUCCCAGGGCUCAACCCUGGACAGGCGGUGGAAACUACCAAGCUGGAGUAAGGUAGGGGCAGAGGGAAUUUCCGGUGGAGCGGUGAAAUGCGUAGAGAUCGGAAAGAACACCAAUGGCGAAAGCACUCUGCUGGGCCGACACUGACACUGAGAGACGAAAGCUAGGGGAGCAAAUGGGAUUAGAUACCCCAGUAGUCCUAGCCGUAAACGAUGGAUACUAAGCGCUGUGCGUAUCGACCCGUGCAGUGCUGUAGCUAACGCGUUAAGUAUCCCGCCUGGGGAGUACGUUCGCAAGAAUGAAACUCAAAGGAAUUGACGGGGGCCCGUAUAAUAUAGAUUCCCACUCUU